AGCAGCCGCGGUAAUUCCAGCUCCAAUAGCGUAUAUUAAAGUUGUUGCAGUUAAAAAGCUCGUAGUUGAAUUUCGGGAUCAAGGAAUCGGUCAUGCCUCGGUAUGUACUGGUUUUAUUGGUUCUCACCUUCUAAAGAACCAUAAUGUCAUUCAUUUGAUGUUAUGGGGAAUUAGGACUGUUACCUUGAAAAAAUUAGAGUGUUUAAAGCAGGCUUACGCUUGAAUACAUUAGCAUGGAAUAAUGAAAUAGGACAUCAGAUUCUAUUUUGUUGGUUUCUAGGAUCGAUGUAAUGAUUAAUAGGGAUAGUUGGGGGCAUUAGUAUUCAAUUGUCAGAGGUGAAAUUCUUGGAUUUAUUGAAGACUAACUACUGCGAAAGCAUUUGCCAAGGAUGUUUUCAUUAAUCAAGAGCGAAAGUUAGGGGAUCGAAGACGAUCAGAUACCGUCGUAGU
rnacentral:rRNA from 1 species